UUUUUUCUUUUCUCUUUUGUUUUUGCUUUUGUUUUGUUUUUCUGUUUUUUUUUAGCAGAGUUAAAUCCCUAAAUCCUUGAAAUGGUUAGUACAAUGCCAUGAUGUUAUGAUGUUAUGUUGUUAUGAUGUCAUGUUGUUAGAAUAAAUAACAAGCACAAGCAAGUCACACAACAAUCAUUCCUAGGUUUUAAGGCUUUGCGUGAGUUCCAUAGGUAUAAUACCCUCCCCACUGAAGUUUGGUUGGUUCAACCUGUCUUAGAAUAGUA
rnacentral:lncRNA from 1 species